ACAGCCUUGCUGAAUUAUUCACCCGUGUCUUUUGCGUACAUCUUGUUUCCUUGGUGGGUUCGCCCACCAUAGGACAAACCAUAAACCUUUUGUAAUUGCAAUCAGCGUCAGUAAAAAAAAUUAAUAAUUACAACUUUUAACAACGGAUCUCUUGGUUCUGGCAUCGAUGAAGAACGCAGCGAAAUGCGAUAAGUAGUGUGAAUUGCAGAAUUCAGUGAAUCAUCGAAUCUUUGAACGCACAUUGCGCCCUUUGGUAUUCCAAAGGGCAUGCCUGUUCGAGCGUCAUUUGUACCCUCAAGCUUUGCUUGGUGUUGGGCGUCUUGUCUCCAGUUCGCUGGAGACUCGCCUUAAAGUAAUUGGCAGCCGGCCUACUGGUUUCGGAGCGCAGCACAAGUCGCGCUCUCUUCCAGCCAAGGUCAGCAUCCACAAAGCCUUUUUUCAACUUUUGACCUCGGAUCAGGUAGGGAUACCCGCUGAACUUAAGCAUAUCAAUAA
rnacentral:rRNA from 1 species